CGAAGCCAAGCUAGAGGGAGACGCCGCACCCAGGGCUGUCAGGCUCUGGGACUCACGCGCUCUGCUAUUCACAGCCGUGUGACUCCUUGGGAAGGUCAGGGAGGGCUGCUGGGUGAGGCUCUGCCUGAGCUUGUGGAGAGAUGCAGCAGGCUAGAUAGAAGGAGCAACAUUGUUUCUGGCAGAAGCGACAACAUUUGCAAGGUUUCAGGGAUUUUGAGGAAGGCAGACACAGCACCUGACUCUUCCAAUAACAUCACCAAGGACAGCAAGGAAAUGAGAACCCAGCCUGGGCCUCCACCUGCCCUGGGGCGCAGGGAACGGGCAAGGGUAGCCUCAGGCCUGGGGGGAGGGCAGUGGGGUAGAUGGCAUCAGUGAGGUGUGGCCCAAAGGGGUCUGGGCGUCCUGAGACUCAUGCAGUCGCCCCUUGUGGAAGGAGGACCCCCCAGCGUGUGGGAGCUCAGCACCAAACACAGGCUGUGAACCCCGGAGCAGGGGUUGUGGCACAGUUUGUAGCAACCCUGGGGCAGGUGAGGGACCAAGGUCUAGGAGGAGCCUAGGUCUCCCAGUGGCCUUUGUCCUGCCAUGUGAAGAGAGGGACAAGGGCCCUUAUGGUCCUAUAUCCAAUUUCUCAGGUCCACGGGAGGAAUGGUGGCUGCUGGGUGAACAAAGAGCUGGUGACCUAGGACACCAGCUGCCCCCACCCAGCCGCAACGGGAGACUUCAGGGCAAUGAGGAUGCCCAGCUGCCCAUAGCCAGUGCCCACCCCACCACCCGCAGGUCCAGAGCCGACCAGGAGAUGGCGCUGCUCCCACGCCUGCUCCUCAUGGCCCUGCCCGCUCUGCGCAGGGGGCCCAUUGCGCAAGGGUCAGAGGAUACUGUCCCGCUGCAGACCCUGCGCUGCUACAAUGACUACACGAGCCGCAUCGUGUGCAGCUGGGCAGAGACGGCGGCUGCUGGGCAGCUCGUCAAGGUGACCCUCCGUCGGCGGUUGUUAAAAGAGUGAGUGAGGGGGACCAGGGUCUGAGGGUGCUGUUCUGUGUCUAGGGUGCCUGGCUUAG
rnacentral:lncRNA from 1 species